GAGCCAGGGAAGAUGGCAAUGGCCUGGCUGAAGUGCAUCUACACUAAUGCACGCAGCAUGGGCAACAAACAGGAGGAGCUGGAAGCCAUCGUGCAGCAGGAAGGCUAUGACUUGGUUGCCAUCACGGAAACGUGGUGGGACCACUCUCAUGACUGGAGUGCUGCAAUGUCUGGCUAUAGGCUCCUCAGAAGGGACAAGCAGCACAGAAGGGGUGGUGGUGUGGCUCUCUAUAUUAGAGAGUGUUUAGAUGUUGAGGAACUUGAGGCUGGGAAUGAUAAGGUUGAGUCUCUGUGGGUUAGGGUAAGUGGGAAGGCCAACAAGGCAAGCAUCCUGGUGGGGGUUUGUUAUAGACCGCCGAACCAGGAUGAGGAGACGGAUGAGGAGUUCUACAGGCAGCUGGCAGAAGCCGCGAAAUCGUCAGCGCUUGUUCUCGUGGGGGACUUCAACUUCCCAGACAUAUCCUGGAAGCACAACACGGCACAGAGAAAGCAGUCUAGGAGGUUUCUGGAGAGCGUGGAAGAUAGCUUCCUGAUGCAGCUGGUUAGAGAGCCUACCAGGGGAGGUGCCCUGCUAGACCUUCUGUUCACAAACAGAGAAGGACUGGUGGGAGAUGUGGUGGUCAGAAACUGUCUUGGGCAGAGUGACCACGAAAUGUUAGAGUUCUCUAUUCUUGGCGAGGCCAGGAAGGGGACCAGUAAAACCGCUGUCUUGGACUUCCGGAGGGCUGACUUUGAGCUGUUCAGGACACUGGUUGGCAGAGUCCCUUGGGAGGAGGUUCUGAAGGGCAAAGGAGUCCAGGAAGGCUGGGCACUCCUCAAGAAGGAAAUCUUAACGGCUCAGGAGCGGUCUGUUCCCACGUGCCCAAAGACGAGCCGACGCGGAACUAGACCGGCCUGGCUGAGCAGAGAGUUGUGGCUCGAGCUUAGGAGAAAAAGGAGGGUUUAUAAUCUUUGGAAAAGAGGGCGGGCUACACAGGAGGACUAUAAGGAUGUUGCGAGGUUGUGCAGGGACAAAAUUAGAAAGGUCAAAGCUCAUCUGGAGCUCAAUCUGGCUACUGCCGUUAAAGAUAACAAAAAACGUUUUUACAA
rnacentral:lncRNA from 1 species